UUCCUUCCAAUCAAUGAGGUGUAACAACCUCAUUGACCGCAAGGAAUGCCUUCUGGUCAAUGGUGUUGUUGUUUCUCGUUGAUUGGAAGGAU
rnacentral:miRNA from 1 species